rnacentral:rRNA from 1 species
UCGCUCAAAGGAUAAAAGGUACUCCGGGGAUAACAGGCUGAUCUUACCCAAGAGCUCAUAUCGACGGUAAGGUUUGGCACCUCGAUGUCGGUUCGUCACAUCCUGGGGCUGGAGAAGGUCCCAAGGGUUCGGCUGUUCGCCGAUUAAAGUGGCACGUGAACUGGGUUCAGAACGUCGCAAGACAGUUCGGUCCCUAUCUGUGGUGGGCGCAAGUAAAUUGAGUGGACAUGACCUUAGUACGAGAGGACCGGGUUGUACGUGCCGCUGGUGUAUCUGUUAUGCCGCCAGGUGUAAUGCAGAGUAGCUAUGCACGGCCAGGAUAAACGCUGAAAGCAUCUAAGCGUGAAACCUUCCACAAGAUGAGUUUACUUUUAAGGGCUGUCAAAGACUAUGACGUUGAUAGGCUAUAGGUAUAAAACUGGUAACAGUAAAGCCAAGUAGUACUAAUUGCCCGUAUGCUUUAUUUUU